rnacentral:rRNA from 1 species
CCUACGGGGGGCAGCAGUGGGGGAUAUUGCACAAUGGGGGAAACCCUGAUGCAGCGAUGCCGCGUGAAUGAAGACGGCCUUCGGGUUGUAAAGUUCUGUCGCAGGGGACGAAAAUGACGGUACCCUGCAAGAAAGCUCCGGCUAACUACGAGCCAGCAGCCGCGGUAAGCCGUAGGGAGCAAGCGUUGUCCGGAAUUACUGGGUGUAAAGGGAGCGUAGGCGGGGGGUAUAGUUGAAUGUGAAGUCUAUGGGCUCAACCCAUAGCUGCGUUCAAAACUGUUCUUCUUGAGUGAAGUAGGGGCAGGCGGAAUGCCUGGUGUAGCGGUGAAAUGCGUAGAUAUUAGGAGGAACACCAGUGGCGAAGGCGGCCUGCUGGACUUUUACUGACGCUGAGGCUCGAAAGCGUGGGUAGCAAACAGGAUUAGAUACCCCGGUAGUC